AUAGUACUCCCUUCGUCCGGAAAUACUUGUCGGGAAAAUGGAUAAAAAUGAGUGUAUCUAGAACUAAAAUACGUCUAGGUACACUCAUUUCUCCGACGAGUAUUUUUGGACGGAGGGAGUACUAC
rfam:Triticum aestivum genome assembly, contig: Triticum_aestivum_CS42_TGACv1_scaffold_434404_5DL